GAUGAACGCUAGCUACAGGCUUAACACAUGCAAGUCGAACGAGAGAUGAGGAGCUUGCUCUUCAAAUCGAGUGGCGAACGGGUGAGUAACGCGUGAGGAACCUGCCUCAAAGAGGGGGACAACAGUUGGAAACGAUUGCUAAUACCGCAUAAGCCCACGGCUCGGCAUCGAGCAGAGGGAAAAGGAGUGAUCCGCUUUGAGAUGGCCUCGCGUCCGAUUAGCUAGUUGGUGAGGUAAUGGCCCACCAAGGCGACGAUCGGUAGCCGGACUGAGAGGUUGAACGGCCACAUUGGGACUGAGACACGGCCCAGACUCCUACGGGAGGCAGCAGUGGGGAAUAUUGCACAAUGGGGGAAACCCUGAUGCAGCGACGCCGCGUGGAGGAAGAAGGUCUUCGGAUUGUAAACUCCUGUUGUUGAGGAAGAUAAUGACGGUACUCAACAAGGAAGUGACGGCUAACUACGUG
rnacentral:rRNA from 1 species